AGAGCGAACGCUGGCGGCAGGCCUAACACAUGCAAGUCGAGCGCCCCGCAAGGGGAGCGGCAGACGGGAGAGUAACACGUGGGAACGUACCCUUCAGUUCGGAACAACCCAGGGAAACUUGGGCUAAUACCGGAUACGUCCGUAAGGAGAAAGAUUUAUCGCUGAAGGAUCGGCCCGCGUCUGAUUAGCUAGUUGGUGGGGUAACGGCUCACCAAGGCGACGAUCAGUAGCUGGUCUGAGAGGAUGAUCAGCCUCACUGGGACUGAGACACGGCCCAGACUCCUACGGGAGGCAGCAGUGGGGAAUAUUGGACAAUGGGCGCAAGCCUGAUCCAGCCAUGCCGCGUGGGUGAUGAAGGCCCUAGGGUUGUAAAGCCCUUUGGCGGGGAAGAUAAUGACGGUACCGCAGAAGAAGCCCCGGCUAACUUCGUGCCAGCAGCCGC
rnacentral:rRNA from 1 species